rnacentral:misc_RNA from 1 species
UAAUAAAGAAGAAAAAAGAGAGAUUCGAAUGGCGUAAAUGGAAAGAUAUGCUUAUCAUUAUUACGAGAUUAGUAGAUAGCUAGCUUUGUUAAUUAUGGGGGAAGGUGUAGUCUUCUUUUUAAAGUUGAGAACAGUUUGUGAAAAUGGCAAUGUGUGGACGACAGGGACCUGAGACUCCAUUGGCAUCACAUCACAGGGUACCCUAUCUUGGAACCAGUUUUGUUAUUGGUCUGUGGGACCACGUGUUGGGGACGGGUAGUCUAGUUUGUUGUUUUGUGGCAAAGAAAUUGAUUGGAGGCAUUUCUUGCUAAUGCGUCCCCCCAGUCCUCCAUCAGCUACAGAACAGCUGGGCCCG